CUGCCCAUCGGCGCGCGCGCCGCAGAUCCACGCCGCCCUGCCACAGUGAUGCCGCCAUCCCCACCGCCGCACGCGCCGCAGAUCCAUGGCCGUCCUCCCGAGAUUAGUCGUGCGAGUUGAUGCCCAAGGCCACCUCUCUCUCUCUCUCUCCCCCGCCCCCUGCCUCCCCCACGCCCCAAGCCGUGGUGCCGCUGCCUCCGCUGCCCGCCGAUGCGUGCACGCCUGCCACAGUGAUGCCGCCGUCCCUACCGUCGCACGCGCUAGAUCAGUUGUGCUUCAGCUGUGAGGAUGCUUAAUCUGCGGAAGGCGUCUCACGAUCCGUGGGCUCCGUGGCAGUGGCGGCGGCGAGAUUCGUGAUGAUGGACCAACAUCAAGGAGGCGCAAGGUCGAUCCACUCCCCUUUCAUGUGUCAGGUGAUCCGCCUCACAGCCCUUACUGCCCUUUUCAUCCUGCGAUCUAUUGUGCACUGACGGCAAUGCGUACCGAUAGGGUUCAGUAUUGUCGGGCUUGUUCUGUGCAUGUGGUUCCAUCCCUGCCACUUGAGGCUUCACUACGUUUGGAUCAUAAGUUCACUUUGAAUGAUUGCAAUUGAUUCGCACGUAUAUGCACGCUCCGUUCAGGUUCCAAUCCCAAAAUUGCAUCAUUUUGGAGGUUUCUGCUUGUGGUUGUUUUUUUCUUUUGAAAACCAAUGUUUGUGUGCGUACAUGGAAAUGGAAUAGUAUGAAUUAUUUGUAGCAUACAAGCAUUCUGCAUGCUAUAUGUGUUCCCCAAAAGUAUAACAUGUUGUUUAAGUUACUCCGAUCAAAUGCUCAGCGAUAUGAAAUUGAUUGUGAAUUUGUGCUUGUGCCAUGUGCCUGAACUUUCAGUGCAAAGCACAUGGACAACAUCUACUAACUUGAAUGGGAUGAUUGGUCCUCUAAAUAGUAGUAAUUGCAUCAAAGUUGCUGAGGUUCAAGGAACCGAAAUAAAGGUAUGUUUCUCUUAUAUUUUCCAUAUCGCGAUCAUGCAAAAAUAAUUGCUGUCUUGCUAUUUCCGUUAGUUUGUCUCUGCUAUUGCUGCAGAUGGAUGACUUCCUGUUGUGAUGCUUUGAGGAGUGUAUGGUGACGGGCACCCCUUUAGUUUAUUACUAAUUGACUAUGCAAACAACUUGAGCGUGAAUAGCAGUACACUAGGUGAUCAGGGAGUCAAAAGUUUGGAAGCCUUUUUUUGGAAAGGUUAGUUUGAGGGAACAAAAUUGCAAGAGUACAUAAUAUUAUCUAUGAAUGUGAACUUUGAAGGGUUGACCUUAAUGACCACACUUUUGUUUUAAAAUGGAUUGCAAAUGAUACAACUAUUAAUAACUCAGAUAGCCAGUGCUUCAGUCGACAGAUCUU